rnacentral:RNase_P_RNA from 1 species
CGAGCUGGCCGGGCGGCCGCGUUGCUGGGCCUGCGGGCCCGGUGCCGAGGAAAGUCCGGACUCCGCAGGGCAGGGUGGUUGCUAACGGCAACCCGGGGCAACCCGCGGGAAAGUGCCACAGAGAACAGACCGCCUCGCGCCGCGCGCGCGGGGUAAGGGUGAAACGGUGGUGUAAGAGACCACCAGCAUCCCGGGUGACCGGGAUGGCUUGGCAAACCCCACCCGGAGCAAGGCCAAGAGGCGGCUCGGUGCAAGCCGGGCCGCUGCGCAGGCGUUCGAGGGCUGCCCGCCCGAUGCCUGCGGGUAGGCCGCACAGAGCCCGCCGGCAACGGCGGGACUAGAUGGAUGGCCGCCCACCGGAGCGCCGCAAGGCGCCCGGGGACAGGAUCCGGCUUACAGGCCAGCUCGUCCG